rnacentral:tRNA from 1 species
UCCCUGGUAGCUCAGCUGGUAAAGAAUCUGCCUACAAUGCAGGAGACCCAGGUUCAAUCCCUGGGUUGGGAA